rnacentral:rRNA from 1 species
CUCCUACGGGGGGCAGCAGUGGGGAAUAUUGCACAAUGGGGGAAACCCUGAUGCAGCAACGCCGCGUGAGUGAAGAAGGUUUUCGGAUUGUAAAGCUCUGUUAGCAGGGAAGAGGAAGGACGGUACCUGCAGAGGAAGCCACGGCUAACUACGUGCCAGCAGCCGCGGUAAUACGUAGGGGGCAAGCGUUAUCCGGAUUUACUGGGUGUAAAGGGAGCGUAGACGGCGAUACAAGUCUGAAGUGAAAGCCCGGGGCUCAACCCCGGGACUGCUUUGGAAACUGUGUUGCUGGAGUGCUGGAGAGG